rnacentral:lncRNA from 1 species
CUCUCUAUUUGAAUAACUGGACAAAGUAGAUAUUUGAGCUAAGUCGUGGCUGGUGUGGAUGUUGAGCAUGAAAGCCACGUAUGUUAGUCCCAGUUGUGCUGUCACCUUGGAACUUUUCACCACUAGGCUAGCUGAACCUGAAGACGUCUGCCUUCCUGCCCUUUAUUUAAGUGCUGGUUCGGUGAAGAUUUCCCUCUGCCCUGGUGUUCUAGCCAAAGCUUGCAGUGGUGUGAGGGAUUCAUGUGUAUUGCAAGCCAAAGCUCCUCUCCCACUGCCACCAAGUUGGCACUGUCCAGAGCUGUGUGCGCUGUCUUCCUGUGUUUGUGAUGACCACAACCACCAAGUUCACCCCACCAUAGCCAGAACAUUCUAGGGAGUUGCUGGCCUAUAUGAAGCUUGUUCCGUAAUCAUCUCAGGUCAGUGAAGCUCACAACAAUUACUACUUGAACUCUACCACUAUUGGUUGCCUGGAACUAGGUGUGAAAUUUAGUCUAAAACAGGGUUGUCAGAUUUCAGAUUUGGUGCAAAUUCAGAGUCUGAAUUUGUAUGUUUUGGGUGCAGCUUUGGAGCUCUUUGCUGCUCUAUCCAUAGAGUUAUAGCUUAUGGCCACUAUAACAAAGUUAUAGAUCUAUUAUAGGAGUACAAGUUUGAUUUAGUGAUCUGACCUAAAAACUAUACAGAACUGAUUGUAAACCUUGCUCAAAACUGGGCCAUCAACUUCUGGGUUUCAGACUUAGCUAAUUGGCUAAGUCUGAAUUUCAGUAAACUUUAGCCAUGUUUGUACCUUUGUAGUGGCUAACCUGUAGGGAAUUAAAUUAGGUCUCUUAUAGCAAAGCAAUAGAGCUAUAGUAGAAGACCAGGUUUGGUUGAAGGCCAUACCAUGUAAGCUAUUUGGAAUUGGAGAAAAAGGUUGGCUAAAGUUGGACCGUCAGACUGUACAUAACUGAAUUUUGUUAUUCAGUUCUAAGAAUUGAAUUACAACAGGAUGCCUAGUUUGGAAUUUAUUUGUGACUGAUUCGUGGGGUUUUGGAUUAAAGUUUCCAUAGCAAAUCUGGAUACCAUAGUAAAGAGAGUAAGUUUUGUAAAGUGAGGUGGACUUGGUUCCACAUAAAUUUGGAAAUAAAAGUGGCCAAAAGGUGGACUGUCAGGUGUUAGGAUUCAGACUUAGAAUAAUAUUUAAGUCUGAAUUUGUGUGUUUUUAUUCAGUUUUGGGUCCUUGUGGUAAUUAAUCCAAGAAGAAUUGGGGUAAGAAUGCUAUAGCAAAGUGAAAGACCAUGUAAAGGAGAGCAAGUGUCAUGCAAAGUGUUGGCUUGCUACUGUGUAGAAUUUGGAGAAAAAGGAGUGACAAAACUCUUUGUCAGACCUAGUAAUGUGCUGUUUCAGAUUGGGAAAAUGGAUUUUCCGUGUGUUUGCUCAACUUUAAUGCACCCUAACGCUUGGUAUGUAUGGUUAUAAGCUAAAGACCUUAUAGAAGAGAUUUGUAGUUGUGUUGGGUGAAUAAGUUUCUUACAGGGAAAUAAGUUUGGAGCUGUAUAAAAUUUAGAGUAAAAUGUGCAUAAAUUUCUUCUGUCAGUCUGUGUGAGAUGUCUGUUUCAGAAAACUGAAAACAAGUUUAGUGGAAGGUGGCUGAAUUUUGGACACCUUAACUUGUAGUACAUGCAGUUUGGGUCUUAGAUUCUUGUAACAAACUUGAAAAGCUUUAGUUAGUGAACAAGUUUGGUAUGGUCUGUCCCUAGCAGAAACAAGGAAAAAGUGGGGCUGAACAGGGACAUAUACAAUUGGGUAUUAGAGGUGGAUUCAGUGUCUGGUUGAUUGACUGAAGAAGAUCACUCUCUCCCUGUGUUUUGCGUGUGUAUGUGGGUGUAGUGCAGCUGUGGUGGCUGAUUUAGUAAACUAGUGUCUAUGGAGUAACUGAAGAAUCUCACCUCAUCCUUGUUGGUUGCCCUAUUAUGAUUGAGUUGUGAUAUUAGAAUAUUUAGCUCUCUUAAGGUUUUGUUAGUUUUUGUGUGCACCAUUAGAGAGGUGUAAGUCUUGCGAUGCUUCUUAGUAUUUUCUUUUCAAGUUGCAUAAGCAUAAACAUCCAUGAUCAUGUCAUUUCAUAUAGAACUCCUACCAGAAGGAGUGAAGAUUCAAGCUGAAGUGGUGACUGAAGAGGAAUCUACUCUAGUGGCUGCUGAUCAAGUGGAGGAGCCAUCUAACUGGGGUUAAUAGAGGGAUCGAGUACCUCUUCACUGCAAUAAGGCAAGCCCCGAUGCAUGCAACCCCUUCCUUGUGUUUUGAAAUGAUUUUUACACACUUUAAGUCUAGUGAAAUGUGCAUUAAGUUUAUAGGAAUUGUUUGAAAACUAUUUGAUGCAUCGACUACCUUGAUAUACAUUCAUGUUAUAGAUACUUCUGGUGAAGUAUCAAAUAUUGUUUACAAAAAUGCUUAGCCCCGCUUAGAUCUUGUGGAUAGAGGUUGUCCUUUGCAAUAAUGCCUAGCUCAGGGGUUAUCCUGAGAAAGGAUGACUUCUACCUGCAAGAAUAUUUUCAUUGGGAGCAUGGUGGAAUCUUACUACAAAGUUCCCUAUAGUGCUCUGUUCAUCCUUAGAAACAUAAAACAAUCCUAAGGGUGGAAGUACUUAACUCGAGACUUGGGUUAGGAACAGGUGAUGCUCCACCCAAGUUAAUUAAGGAUUGGAUGCGUAUGUAGGCCUGUAUGAUCAAGGACUAUCUUAACUAACCACAUGCCCUGGAUAUGGGACAGGGUAAGCUUGAACCCGGCUAUUCCAUACAUGAAAAGACAAUCGCGCACUGGGAGUGGAGAGAUGGCGAGAGUGGCACGUACCCUCCUGGCAAAGGACCGCCUAAAAGGGGUUGUGUGCUCUCGGGUGGCACUGACCUGUUCAUGUAGUGGAGGAUCCGUGGGAAUGGUAGACAUAUGCAAAAGUUACGAGAAACAUAUGUCGUGUGGUUAGAGAUCCUCAGCUGAGGAAAUCGAUUCGGAUCGCCGUUAUAUCCCCGGAGAGUGGAGACUUGAUCUCCGACCUACAACCUAAGUCAGGAUGCAAACAUUAUGAAUAAAAAUGAUGUUGUAUUGAUGAGAUGGUGAAAUUAGACUAGAUGCAACCAGAGUCUAUUAAUAUUUAAUCUGGCGUUAAAAUAUUGAAAGUAAGGACUCACUUUAGUAAGCUAUUUCUGCAAAAGUAUCUAAGUUUUUUCUUGCUAAAGCCUUUUUCUUGAUUCCUAUUUAACCAGCAUAUCCUUGAGAGUCAUUUUUCCUUAGUCGGGUAAGACUUGCGAAAGUACACUUCGUACUCAGGGUUUUCGAACCCAUGUUGUUGUAGGUGAUGAGGAGUACUCUAGGUGUUCCUGUGGCUGGAGGGCGUUUCUAGUUCUGAAGGAAGAUUAGUUAGUCUUGUGUAUAAGCUUUGGAGGGUUCCUACCUUCCUGCUAAUGUAAUAAGUUAUGCACUUUGAGUAUAUUAGGACUUGUAAUAAAUGUAACUCUUCCUAUGUAAUAAACUUCAAUUUUAGAAAUGAAAAGAAUGUUUUAUAAA